rnacentral:rRNA from 1 species
UAGGGAAUCUUGCGCAAUGGAGGAAACUCUGACGCAGCCAUGCCGCGUGUGUGAAGAAGGCCUUAGGGUUGUAAAGCACUUUCAGCGAGGAAGAAAAAGCGGGGUUAAUACCCCCGUUCUAUGACAUCACUCGCAGAAGAAGUACCGGCUAACUCCGUGCCAGCAGCCGCGGUAAUACGGAGGGUACGAACGUUAAUCCGAAUUACUGGGCGUAAAGCGCGUGUAGGUGGUCCACCAAGUGGGAUGUGAAAGCCCGGAGCUUAAAUUCCGAACUGCAUUCCAAACUCGCGGACUAGAGUGCGAUAGAGGGAGGUAGAAUUCAGAGUGUAGCGGUGAAAUGCGUAGAUAUUCUGAGGAAUACCAGUGGCGAAGGCGGCCUCCUGGAUUGAUACUGACACUGAGACGCGAAAGCGUGGGGAGCAAACAGGAUUAGAUACCCCAGUAGUCC